AAGAAGACUGCAUUUGUGUGUGUGCGCGCACAUGGCCAGGGAGGCUCUGGAUCACAUGAUCAAUUUUUCUGCAAUGCAGUUGCAGCUGCUCUUCUAUUUCUUUUGAGAUCAAGUCUAAGUCCUUAGAAAAUUCUUCAGAUCGUGCUGUUCUUUGCACUUUGAGCUCCAAAGGAGAGCAGAAGUCUCAAGUCAUCAGCACCAAAAGCUUCCCUGAGGAUGAAAGCAGCAGCAAUUGAAUACACAUUAUUCAGUGGAAGCUGAAAACAACGAUGUUGACGUCUUUUUAAUUUGCGAGACUGGCUUAUUUUGUUAACAUUAAUUUUGUUUGUGCGUUAUUCUUAUUGUCUAUUUUACAAACUUUCA